GAAUUUUCCAUCCAUUUAUCCUCUCAUUAUCUAUCUUUUUUGCUUCAAAUGUCAAUUGACUCCUCUCACUCAUAGUUGUACAAAUUACAGGGCUUUUUUUUAAUUGUCAUAAAACAUAUACAUUAUUCAUCUAUUCAGUUUCAUCUGAAGAGAAUCCAACAAAGAAGAAAUUUUAUUUUCCAAUAAAAUAUUAAAGCUGCUUUACCCCACAAGAGACAGAGCAGAAAUUCCAUCCAUGAUCUAUAAAUCUAUGCGAAAACAAUACACAGUUCUGGCCAAAAGAAGUUAAAACAAAUGUGAAAAAUAAGCGACAUCCAGAAACUUCAGCAGCUCCCUUCUGUCCUAUGCCUCAAGGUACCAGAGAGGGAAAAAGACCCCCAGGAGAGGCUGUGAGGAAACCUGAACUGCAAACCCACCACGAUGUCUUCCUGGGAAAGGCAAGUUGGUAAAGAAAGAUGUGAACUCUAUUUCAGGGUAGUAUGUUUUUUUCAUUUGCUUCCAAGACUUUGAUGGAAUGACUUGAGAGGAAAAGUUCACAAUUACUAGAAAGAACCUAAAAGGACAUGAGAGAUGAAACCGUUGCAGUAUUUUUGAAAUAAAUGUUUUCCUGCAAGAGCAGAGUCAUGGGCGGGGUGUCUGUGUAAUAUCUACUCAACACAGCCGAAGGGUAAGAGGAAAUCUUGGUAAGCCGACUUCCAAGUCUUAAUGGGGAACCAUACGGAACCAACUGCACGCCAAAUCCCACGCUCACCGAAGCUUCAGGGAUUUUCUUGUGGGUCUGGGGGUUUAAUCUGACAGCUCCUAGAGCCUUCAGGACUUCCCGGGCACAGAUAAUGGGCCGCGACUGCACCCCCGCGUCCCUCCUUGGGGCGCAGGCUUUCCACAGCUACAGUUCUCCACGUCAGCAGCCACGUACACAAGCGCCGGCAGCUGCCAACAGGGCGUGCCCGCUUCCAACCCUGCACUCUCCCAAGCAGGACAUCCCUGCACCGCCCGGCGCGUUCGCGAAAACUCCGCGGGGCCUCGAGGCGUCCCGGGAUUAGCCCUGACGCUGUAGGGCUCUCUAGGUUUUCCACGACGCAGGGGAGCGUAACUGGAGCGCACCCGACAGCCUCUCAGCUUGCCCAGGCUCGACUGGAUGGGGCUUUGCUGGACCCCCGACCCGACCCCCACACACCCGGGCGGCGGGGCCCAGGCAUUACUAUGUUUUCCAGUCCUGGCCAGUGGGAUCUGAGACAACAAUAACAGCAUUUCCAGGAAAUGUUAUCUCUCAAAAUAAAAUUAACUCACAAAAUGACGCUCCUUUCUUUUGCAAUGGAUGUGGUCCUGUCUGCCUAUGACCCCUAAAACCACUGCAGCCAACAUGUGACCAUGAUGGGAGAGAUCCCCAGCAUGUUGAAGAAAGCAAAGUGAAAAUAUAAUGAGCUCUUUGUCUUGGAGGGAGGUAUCAGGGCCAAGAAUUAACCCCAGAACUGUGCUCUCUACAUACUUCUUAUUAUGUGAGAUAGUGUCAUUAUUUAAGCCACUUUCAAUUGCAUAUUGUGUUUAUUGCCAUAAAAUGUUUUCUGGCUGGGCACAGUGGCUCAUGCCUAUAAUCCCAGCACUUUGAGAAGCUGAGGUGGUGGAUUGCUUGAGCCCAGGAGUUUGAGAUCAGCCUGGGCAACUUGGCUGAAACCUGUCUCUACAAAAAAUUAGCCUAGCCAGACGUGGUGGCCUGUGCCUAUAGUCCCAGCUACCCAGGAGACUGAGGUGGGAGAAUCACCUGAACCUGGGCUCUCUGAUCACACUGCUGCAUUCCAGCCUGGGCGACAGAGUGAGACCCUGUCUCAAAGUAAAAUAAAAAUAAAUAAAUAAAUAAAUAAAUAAAUAAAUAAAUAAAUAAAAUAAAAUAAUAAAAUAAAAAUAUUCUUGCUGCUGACAACUUCUCUGUGGUAGCCAGCCUCCAAAAUGGCCCCCAGUGAUGCUUACCUCCUGGUAUGCACUCCCUUGUGUAGUCCCCUUCUAUGUUGAAUCAGGGCUUGCCUUUGUGACUGAUAGAAUAUGGUAGAAAUGAUAAAGUGUGACUUCCAAGGCUAGUUCAUAAAGGCAUUGCAGCUUCUGCCUUGCUCUUUCUUGCUAACUUGCUCUGGGAUAAGCCAGCUGCCAUGUCAUGAAGACAUUCAGUCAGGGUUGUGCAGACACCUUCUUGGAGAGGAAGCAACCAGCCAGCACCAACUUACCAACAUGUGAAUGACCUUGGAAGAUCUUCCAGCCCCAGUCAUGCCAUCAGAUGACUAGAGCCCUCUCACAGCUGACUGCAACCUCAUUAAAGACUUAAAGCCAGAACACCCAACAGAGCUGCUCUUGAAUUCCUGAUUCAUAGACACUUCGAGAGAUAAUAAAUUAUUGUUGCUUUCAGACACUAAGUCUUGGAAUAAUUUGUUACAUAGCAAUUGAUAUCUAAUAGAGUAUCUGUCAACACCAGAAAAACAUGCCAAAGUCAGCAAAGCACUCCCAGAGUCCGUACUGUUGCUUUAGACUUGAGAGCUAUCUUACAAGAUUGAAUACAACCGUUCAUUUAUCAAGCACUUUCUAAAUAUGAUCCCA
rnacentral:lncRNA from 10 species